GGGGAAUUAGCUCAGUGGUAGAGCGCUUGCCUAGAAAGUGCAAGGCCCUGGGUUCGGUUCUCAGCUCCA
rnacentral:tRNA from 1 species